rnacentral:lncRNA from 1 species
UAGUUAGAUUAAUAUUAUCAUUAGUUUGUUCUUCAUCUGUCAGCGAUAUCUCUGGAAUCGGACCUUCAGAACAUGGAAACGUCACAUUUGUCGAUAAGAAUGUGGAAAAAGGACAAGGAAGUAAAAUGUUCCUCAAAAAUGGUUGUUUUUGUUUUUGGGACCUUUUGAUACUUUUGGAAAUAAACUCCUUGUUUUAAUUGGUUUGGCCACAAAGACGUUUCUUAUGGUCGAGAUCAAUGCUUAGAAAUGCCUUCCACUUCUUCAUUGAGUCAUGAAGCCUAAGUAUUUCGUCAUUUUACUGCCCUGGAUAAGAAAGAUCAAAUUAGUGGACGGAGAGUUUGUCUGACAACUUUAUCUUUCCUUUUGGCUAUGGGGAGAUCUAUAGUUCAGAGACUAUAUACUCAUUAUUUAAAGAAUGAGUUCAAAUAUAAACAUAAUAAAUUGACUAAAAAUCCAUCUAAUAGCCCGUACAAUUGAAAGGAGAGAAGGUAUUAAACAUUUUUUGGAUACCUUAGUGAUAUAUCAUGAUAUUUUUGUACUAGAAAGAGUUGCAUCUCAUUAGGAUCUCAAACCCAUAAGUUUCCCAAGUCAUGGGAAUAUGGAAGUUCUAUAUAAUAAACAAUCAUGCUUGAAACCAGGAUACGAUCAAUAUAGCAGUAGACAAACUUUCAUUCGUCAUUGGAAAUUAGUGUGUCCCAAAUUGGGUAUAAUGGGAAGACGCAUCGAUGUUUGUCAUAUUUUUUAUGAUCAUUCUCAAGAAUUGACCUUUUAGUUUGGAGAAUCCCUGCAAACUAACCCUUUGGUUGAUUGGACAUCAAUGAUAUAUUAAUGAAUAUCAAUGACGGUAUUAAGGAGCACUUGAUCCGUGUUCAAACAGAACGUAGAUAUUACAAUUUGAGGGUUAAAUACGCUAAAAAUUAUCAAGAAUCUGUUAAACUAUUAACUAUAGACUUUUCUGGAGCUAAAUUGGUUUCUUAAACGUGAAUACAAUUGCGAAAAACUCAUUUAUUUCUCUAUAGUUAAUAUUUUUACUAUUGAGAAUGAAGGAUUAGGAACGUCCAAUAUAUAUAUGUUUGAUGAGGCUGAACAGGAAAUAUUUAGGAAAGGGCCCAAUUGUGUAGCAUAUCUUUUAUGCCAUGAACUACAGAGUAUGAGUCUAAUUCUGCAUCUUGAAAUUCAAUGUGAGAAUUGUGGGAAGAAAGUUUUAAUAGUCUUUUUAAGUUUACCGCUUUCUACAUUCGAUUUGCAUUUACAAAGGCCAGAAUAAAAUUUACAAUAUAUUGGCAUUUGUGAUGCAUUUGAUGAUUUCUUUCCACUUUUUUGCUCAAAAUCGUUCAAAGUUUUUGCCAGACAGCAGCUUCGGUGGCAUUUUAAAAUCAUACUAUAAUUAGCAAAAAAUUGAAUAUUUGGAAGAUUUAGUGAAAGUAGUCGAAAAUGUAUCUAUUAAAUUUAGUACGAUAUCUUCCAAAAAGUGCAGAUGCCCACUAAUUCAAAUUUAUUAUUGGAAGAUAUUUUUAAACAAUUAUUUCUGCCCUCUAAAAGGAAUAAAAAAUUAUCACACAUUUACCUUCACAUCUACUUUUCCUGGAGUUGUACAUGUUAAAAAAUGGUCCGAUAGACAUUCAGGCUAUUUCUAUAAAUUUAUUAAACCUGGAAUUCCGUACUUUGAUUUGUCUUAUCUAUUCCUGAAGAAUAUAUUGUGACAAAAAAUAAAUUACUUGAACAAAGAUCAGAAUAUCUAAUGAAGAACGUCGUUCCUUUGGUUUAUUGUAAUCAGAAAGAAAACUUUUCUUAAAGUCUAUAAAAAAACAAAUCGAACUUAUCUGACAUAGAAUUAGAUAAUAUUCUUUCUUCUCAAGAUAACAAUUUUUUGUUUCUAUCUACUUCUCACCUUAAGGAUUUCGUUCCUCCAUCAACUUAUUCCCCUACACCAACUAUGAUUUUAAUUGAUGUUAUUCAAUCAAUUUUAUCUUUACCAACGAAUCAUUUAGUACAAGAAACUUCCUCAUUACCUUUGAGUAAUUUAUUAGAAGGCACAAAAUGAAAGUUUGAUAGCAGAAAUACGGAUUUAUCUACAUCUUGUGACCCGGAUCUGACCACAUGAAUCAGAAAAGGAUGGCUUUAAAUCACGAUGAAUAAAAAAGAAAGGUUUUUUAUGUGUUGGAUGUAAUUUGUACAGUAAAUAUUUGAAAUAGGAGAACCAAAAAUGUGGAUAUUGCACACAUUGCGUAAAAAAUAUUACAAACAAUCGUGCAAGGGAUUUAUUUGUACAAAAUACAAGUCAUAAUUUAUACAAUGAAUUAGGAUUUUUGAAGGUUUUUUGUUGUAUACCUCCUGUAUUCACAAUAAUUGAUUAUAAAAGUAUAUAUUUAUAUUUUUUAUAGUUAAUUAUAGCUGUU